rnacentral:rRNA from 1 species
GUGUUGCUGCAUUAUAUCAGUCAUAAUUUAUUUGAUAGUACCUUUUACCUGGAUAACCGUGGUAAUUCUAGAGCUAAUACAUGCUUAAAACCCCGACUCACGAAGGGGUGUAUUUAUUAGAUAAAAAACCAAUGCCCUUCGGGGCUACUUGGUGAAUCAUAAUAACUUAACGAAUCGCAUGGCCUUGCGCCGGCGAUGGUUCAUUCAAAUCUCUGCCCUAUCAACUUUCGAUGGUAGAAUAGAGGUCUACCAUGGUUUCAACGGGUAGACAACUCCGUUGCCCGCUGGAAAUCAAAACACGUACCUGCCUUUGGGUGGGUGCAACGUCGCUGGUUCGGAGGAAGUUCCUUGGGGAACAACUCUGAGGCGAGCUCGUCCCUUGUGACGGCCGCCGCAACGCAUGGCAAGCGACGGGCCUCUCCUGGGGAGAAGUCUUGGUACAUGCUCUUGCCUGGGAUUUAUGCCCGGGUGAUCAAAGAACGGGGAAUUAGGGUUCGAUUCCGGAGAAGGAGCCUGAGAAACGGCUGCUACAUCCAAGGAAGGCAGCAGGCGCGCAAAUUACCCAAUGCCGACACGGCGAGGUAGUGACAAUACAUACUGAUGCAGAGCUCUUUUGGGUUUUGCAAUUGGAAUGAGUACAAU